rnacentral:rRNA from 1 species
CCUACGGGGCGCAGCAGUUGGGAAUAUUGGACAAUGGAGGAAACUCUGAUCCAGUGACGCCGCGUGAAGGAAGAAGGUCUUCGGAUUGUAAACUUAUUUUAUCAGGGAAGAAAAAAAUGACUGUACCUGAAGAAGAAGCACCGGCUAACUACGUGCCAGCAGCCGCGGUAAUACGUAGGGUGCAAGCGUUAUCCGGAUUUACUGGGUGUAAAGCGCGCGUAGGCGGUCAUGUAAGCGGGACCUCUAAUCUUGGGGCUCAACCUCAAGCCGGGUUCCGAACUACAUGACUCGAGUGUGGUAGGGGG